GAGCCAUUCUCUCCCUGUCCACGCCAGGAGAGCUCCUCACGUGGUCUUCUCCAGACAAGAGCUUUGUCCUUCACGUUGAAUGUGAUGCUGGAAAGGAGGCAGGAGGUCUGGGAAAAGACUUGUUAGAAAAUAGCCAGGGGAAGAAAAGGGCAGGUGUGCAUGUCCCCCUGUUGGCUGUCUGUCGCAUGAGGCUCACGUGCUCAUAGUGGAGAAGCCAGUGGAUCCGAAGCCACCCCUACCCUUGAGAGCCCACGCUGGGAGCCUGUGAGGACACUGCCUGGCUCUCUGGAGUGCCUGUCCAUGGUGAAGCCUCCUUGGGAGCCAUACAGCUGCAGGGAAUGCUGUGUACAGCUCUGAGAGCCGUGGCCAGGACUACAAGGAGUGAUGUGUUGAAGCCCCAAGCUUCAGGGCCCCUCAGACGCUGCAGUGCUCAGAAGGGCCCUUCCUGCCGCCGCCUCUCCAUCUCCUUCCCAUGAACGGUGAGGGCUCGUGUUUGCUCUGGGAGAGUUUCCCGGGAGCCGAUGGGGUUCUAGGCCCGUGACGCGUGGGCUUCCAGGAGCGCAGCUGACCCAUCCCUGCGGCAAAUGAUCACCGUCUCCUGCCGUGGGAACGGGAGGGGUGCGUGCCGCAGCCAGACCCCACUUCUGUUCUCCGGGAGCCGAUGGCUUUGCUGGGGGGCUCUUGGGGACCACUUGGGACCUUCCAAAUGUUGGCUGAGCAGGGUCUGGAGAAUCUACCGGGGAGCCCACUGACCUUCGGGCCGUAGCACGGACCGGGCCUUCUUCC